AGAGCGAACGCUGGCGGCAGGCCUAACACAUGCAAGUCGAGCGCCCGUAGCAAUACGGGAGCGGCAGACGGGAUAGUAACACGUGGGAACGCGCCCUUCGGUUCGGAAUAACUCAGGGAAACUUGAGCUAAUACCGGAUACGCCCUUACGGGGAAAGAUUUAUUGCCGAAGGAACGGCCCGCGUCCGAUUAGCUAGUUGGUGAGGUAAUGGCUCACCAAGGCGACGAUCGGUAGCUGGUCUGAGAGGAUGACCAGCAUCACUGGGACUGAGACACGGCCCAGACUCCUACGGGAGGCAGCAGUGGGGAAUAUUGGACAAUGGGCGCAAGCCUGAUCCAGCCAUGCCGCGUGGAUGAUGAAGGCCUUAGGGUUGUAAAGUCCUUUUAAACGGGGAAGAUAAUGACGGUACCCGUAGAAUAAGCCCCGGACUAACUUCGUGCUAGCAGCCGC
rnacentral:rRNA from 1 species